rnacentral:rRNA from 14 species
CCCUGCGGUCAUGCUACCUGGAAUGUGCCCAAUCUUGUCUGAUCUUGGAAACUACAUGGAGUUGAGCCUGGUUAGAACAUGUAUGGAGACAUAACAAUUUUCAACAAAAACUGUACUUU